GACAGAGGCCUCAAGCGUUAGGCGGAAUCACUGGGCUUAAAGCGUGUGUAGGCGGAUCGUUAAGUGCCUUGUGAAAUCCCACGGCUCAACCGUGGAACUGCUCGGUAUACUGCCUGUCUUGUGCAACCUAGGGGCGAGCGGAACAGAUGGUGGAGCGGUGAAAUGCGUAGAUAUCGUAAGGAAGACCAGUGGCGAAGGCGGGUCUCUGGACAGUUCCUGACGCUGAGGCACGAAGGUCAGGGGAGCAAACGGG
rnacentral:rRNA from 1 species